rnacentral:rRNA from 1 species
UACGUAGGGGGCCAGCGUUGCUCGGAAUUACUGGGCGUAAAGGGUUCGUAGGUGGUGCGGCAAGUUGGAAGUGAAAUCUCUGGGCUUAACCCAGAGGCUGCUUUCAAAACUGCCGCGCUCGAGUGCGAGAGAGGUCAGUGGAAUUGCAGGUGUAGCGGUGAAAUGCGUAGAUAUCUGCAGGAACACCCGUGGCGAAGGCGGCUGACUGGAUCGCAACUGACACUGAGGAACGAAAGCUAGGGGAGCAAACAGGAUUAGAUACCCUGGUAGUCCUAGCCCUAAACCAUCGGAACUUGGGGUGGCCCGCGUAGGCGGGUCGUCCCGUAGCUAACGCGUUAAGUUCCGCGCCUGGGGAGUACGGUCGCAAGACUGAA